UUAAAAAGCGUCAAAGCUUAAUAUCUUAAACCUUUCUAAUUCUACAAAAUUAAAUGACCCCUUACCUAGUAUUGAAUGACUUCAUAAUUAUAUGAAAAUCACUAUGCCGGAACUAGUAACAAGAAUUUAAUAUUCUCCAAAGUGUAAACAUAAACUAAAAUGGAUUCUCCACUAGUAAUUAACGAAAAUGAGAUUUAUACAACAACACCCCAAGAAAAACAUGUAUAUAAAAACCGUCAACCUGACACAAGAACACUCCCGGAAAGAUUAAAAGGAAAAGAAGGAACUCGGCAAAUCCUAACCCCGCCUGUUUACCAAAAACAUCGCCUCUUGACGUAAUAUAAGAGGUCCAGCCUGCCCAGUGAAAAUUAAACGGCCGCGGUACACUGACCGUGCAAAGGUAGCAUAAUCACUCGUCCCUUAAAUAGGGACUUGUAUCAACGGCAUCACGAGGGUUACACUGUCUCCCUUUCCUAAUCAGUGAAACUGAUCUCCCCGUGAAAAAGCGGGCAUACACAUAUAAGACGAGAAGACCCCAUGGAGCUUCAAACCAAAAGCAAAUUAAAUUAAUAUACCACUUUAACCCUUUAUACUAUGCACAUUGGUUUUAGGUUGGGGCAACCGCGGAGAAAAAAUUAACCUCCACAACGAAAAGACCUUAGUCUUUAUCUCAGAGCCACUGCUCUAAGAACUAGAACACUAACGGAUACUGAUCCAACUUACUAGUUGAUCAAUGAACCAAGUUACCCUGGGGAUAACAGCGCAAUCCACUUUGAGAGUCCCUAUUAAUAAGUGGGUUUACGACCUCGAUGUUGGAUCAGGGUAUCCUAGUGGUGCAGCCGCUACUAAAGGUUCGUUUGUUCAACGAUUAAAACC
rnacentral:rRNA from 1 species